rnacentral:rRNA from 1 species
UACGGAGGGGGCUAGCGUUGUUCGGAAUUACUGGGCGUAAAGCGCGCGUAGGCGGACCUGCAAGUCGGGGGUGAAAGCCCGAGGCUCAACCUGGGAACUGCAUUCAAAACUGACGAGCUAGAGUAUGGUAGAGGGUGGUGGAAUUUCCUGUGUAGCGGUGAAAUGCGUAGAUAUAGGAAGGAACACCAGUGGCGAAGGCGACCACCUGGACUGAUACUGACACUGAGGUGCGAAAGCGUGGGGAGCAAACAGG